UCUCCAUGAGCUUGGGCUCUUACUUUGUUGAUACCUCUAUUUUGAAGGCGUCGUGGAAAUACUUCCGGUUUUGUUCCGCUUCUCCCCGGCUUCGUCAAGUAGUAGCAUAUUGCUAAGCGGAGAAGUUAACGGCAAUAGUAAAAUGUAGCAGCAUUAUUUUAAUUCUCCGUGACUAGCAGACAUAUCAGUGACCACUGUGGAAUCAACACUACCCAGGUGGGCUGUUUUCAAGUGUAGUAUCGUCUCAAAAUAGCACCACAGUUCUUAAGAAACUGCAGUUUACAAGUAGGAACGUUGGGUUAAGGGCGCACAACGGACACAGAAGGAUAUUUCUGCUGUUUUACAUCAAAAAUAAUACCAGCACCGUCCGAGACGAGGGGAAAAAAUGCCAUCGAGAAAUCACCUUGACAAAAUCGGGAGGAAGAAAAAGAAGAGGUGGACAGAAGACGCCAUGGAGCGUGCACUGAUAGAGGUCAAGUCAGGCAGGUGCACAGUAAGACAAGCCGCCAAGCAGUUUGGAGUCCCUAAAUCUUCACUGGGGGACAGAGUCAGUGGACGGGUGACCCCUGGGAGCCGUAGCGGCCCGGCUCAGCUUAUAACAUCUGCCGAUGAGGAGUUGUUGGUCGAGUUCUCCUUAUACAUGUCCAGGCAUGGAUUCCCACUUACAAAGCAGCAGCUGGUGUCCUUCGCAUCGUCAAUUUAUAAGCGGCAGCACCGGAGGGUGGCAUUUUCCAAACUGGGCCAGACAUGGUGGCUCAAUUUUAGAAAACGACAAGAGAAAAACAUCACUAUUCAGCCAGCAGACAAUGUUGUCCGUGGGAGGACCGUGUCAGUGAGAAAGGAAGCAGUAGAUCAGUUUUUUCACCUCCUGAGGACUGUUGUAGAUGCUCAUGAGCUCAGAGACAAGCCUCACCAAAUUUUCAACUGCAAUGACACAGACUUUCAGCUGAGUAGGAAGAGGGUGACUCUCCCCAAAUCUGUCAGUCUAGGCCACAAGCCAGCGCCAGGCUCCAGGGACCAUGUCUCCGUCCUGGCUUGCUUUAAUGCGGUUGGAGAGGACAUCCCCCCAUUUAUAAUCUACUCAAAGGCCUAUCCAGGGGGAGUAUGCUACAAGACACAAGGACCGCCAAAUGCCCUAUACGGGUGGUCAGACUCAGGAUGUAUCAAUUCAGACCUCUUUAAGAAAUGGUUCCUCAAACAUUUUCUCGUGCACGCACCAAAGGAGCGUCCACUGCUGCUGAUUUUCGAUGGCCACAAGUCACCCGUGAACCUGGAGGUGGUGGAAACAGCUCGUAAGGAGGAUGUCAUUCUUCUGUGCCUCCCACCUCAUUGCUCCCACAUCCUCCAGCCACUCAAUGACGGUCUCUUUGUGGUCCUCAAGCAGCACUUUGCUUCAUUCCUAGGCGACGGCUACACUACUGACACCCACUUUGCAGUUAGCAAAAAGGAGUUCUCAGGAGUUUUCAAAGGAACAUAUCAGGUAGCAAAGGAGGAGGAAGGUGUGAGAAUUGUGAAGGAAGGCUUUAGGAAAUCUGGGAUCUACCCACUGAACCCCUUCACCAUCUGUGACAGACACAUGAUAUCAGCCCACAUUGGCCAGAUAGCUGCUCCCUCCUUGUCAACACCAGUGCCGGGAGUGCACACUGUAGGAGACCUCACAGAUGCUGGGCCGUCUUCCUAAUUCAUCGCUAUGAAAAUGAAAGUGUGAUUGACUGCAUAAUUGAGCAAAGCAGAAAUGAGCACAGGCUCGUUCUGUCUUUCAAAAUACUGACUUAAUUACAGUCCUGUUUUAAUAUAGUGAACCACCUCCUGCUGCCUCCCUGCAGAGAGCCCUGUUUGAGGAAGGCUUGCAUUGUUAUUAAUUACUACUCAACACUGAGCUCAGAUUUAGUUAUCGGGUAAUAAUGUUUGAAUGCUGCACAACUGUGGUUUUUCAAUGGGUUGGGAGUCCCAAGGUGAACAUGAUUUCAAAAGGAUAAUAAAAGAAAAAUAUAGGAAAUAUUUCUGCUUAGCAAAAAUCUGUAAUUUCUCUUCAUAAAUGCUUCCAUCUUCUUGUGAAUUAUUGGAUGGCAAGCCAUUUAAAUUAAGUGACCCAUGAAGGAAAAACACUUGAAAAGCACUCACAAGUUGCUUCAGCCUAGGGGAUUGUGAGCGAAAGAACAUUUGUAGAUAUUCAGUGCCAUCUUUUUUUUUUCUUUUUCUUUUUCUUUUUUUUUUUUUUUUUUUGGUAUUGCUGGCCAGUCAGCUAGCGAAGCUAACCAUCAUUGGUAAGGGGCAUGAUUUCAGUUUAGUGGUCUCUGACAGUAAGUGAGGGAGGGGAGGCUGUGAGGUCCACAUAUAUAACACCGGUGCUUCACUCUGUCAUUUGUUUUAUGUAUGUAAGUAAUGUGAAAAAUUCACUCGAUUAUCUCAAACACACUGAAACAGAUAAAAGAGUGAAUUUAAAGCUUGGGCACAUUUUCAUAUGUUAUCUUAUUGUAGACGUCUGAUAACUACACUUUAUGCUGUUCAAGAUGUCUCUGAAGCACAAUCGAGCCUCUUAACUACCAGACUGAUUUUGAGUGGAAGUUGGAAUCAUUUAUUGAAGGAUGUGUCAUCAACAGAUGAUGCAGCUGUAGAAUAUGAUACACCUACUGCUGUUGUCAUGGUUUUCUUUUGAGGUCAAAGAAAAUAUGUCAAUUUUUGGUUCCAUCUGAGAAACAGCUGUUGUCUUUUUUUCCCUAAAUAGUUUAAAAUUGUACAUGUGACUCUAUUGUUCCUUUACUUACAUCAACUGGCCUCUUUGUUAGGUACACCUGUUUAGCUUCUCAUUAAUGCAUAUCUCGAGUCAGCCAAUCACAUGGCAGCACUGUGCUAUCAUGUCAAUGUAGAUCAGAAUCUCAGGAAGGUUUCCAGCAUGUUGUUGAAUCUAUGGUGUGAAUACUUAAGGCAGUUCUGGAGGAAAAAGGGGUCCAAACCAGUACCAGCAAGGUGUACAUAAUAAAGUGGCCCGUGAACGUAAGUAUCCUGAAUAAUUGUGAACACAGAAACUGAUAUAAAAGUAAACCCAAGACCUUUUUAAAUAAUUUGCUCCUUUCUGUUCACCUGGAAGAAUGAACCCUACGAGAUCUCAGGGAAAAAAAUCAGACCUCUAGAAUAAAGAUAUUUUUCAAAUAUGUUUGAAGCAAAAAUUUGUCCAUAAGCUUAAUAAUUUACAACAUUUUGCUGUAGCCGUGCCUGUGUGUGUGUCUGUGUUAUGUACAUGUUCAGGCUGAGUGAUGUAAUGUCAGUGCAAUAGAUACAUUUGCCAACAAUAGUCAGGCAGCUAAGGCUGACGUAUCCUUUAUUUAGUAGAAAUAUUGUGCAACCAAGCAGAAGAACCCCUUUCUGUUCUAUUACCUGUAUAGAACAACUCUGUAUAUGACUAUAAUUAUUGGAUGCCUAUAUCAAAAUCAUUAUUUUAAUGCACAGGAGUAUUAAUGUUAACAUUAACCACUUUUUUUUUUAACAAAGCUGGUAAAAUAUUUGUCACAUACCAUAUAAUUAACAGUGGGGACUCAUAUGUUAAGGUGUUCCCUAGAAAGCUUUUGCUACAGUAUUCAAGGAAAAAUAUGCAUGUGUGUCCUACAGGGAUUAAUGUUUGAUCAACCAGCUUAAGUGUAGGUCACACUGCAGUGUACUUUAGAGCUUUAUGGAUGCAGUACAGAUGCCCAGGGCUAAGUUAAUGUUUUUGUACUGUAUGUUAAUAUCACAGAUGGUGAUUUGUGCCUGAAGCCUGGAAUAUUUUUAGUUAUGAUUCAAUGACACAGCACAGUCGAAGGACAAUUUAAGUUUGACUUGCAGAACUGCCACCACACUGUGCGGUGCCACACACAUUUUAUACACAUGGGUCCAAUAUUUAAGUUUUAUAUUAUUUCUCUUUUAAAAAAAAAUAGAUAUACAGUCAUGGUAAAAAUGUAUGGCCUCUGUCAGUUCUGAGGUUUACAUAUGAGGGCAUAUUGAAAGUAAACCAUGCUCUUAAAGUUUUUGAAAUACAACCUCUGAUGAACAACAAUGUGCGGUAUUACACGGUUUAAAAAAACAAACUAAGCCAAAUGCAGAAGGUGUGUGUGAAAAGAACAACCAGUGACUGAGUAGCUGGUAGAACCACCUUUAGCAACAAUAACUUGAAUAGCUUCCUGUAUGACUUUAUCAAUCAGCCACAUCAUUGCGGAGGAAUUUUGGUCCACUUGUCUUUAACAUGUUGCUUCAGUUCACUGCGGUUCGCAGCCAUUAAUCUAAGCACAUCUCUGUAAAGGUCCCACAAUAGCAUUUCAGUCGAUUGAAGUCUGGUAUUGGCAGCAGCCUGGUUCUUUUCUUUUUCAGCCAUUCUGUUAUACAGUUGCUGAUGUGAUUAGAUUCAUCGUUUUGCUGAAAGAACCUGUUUUGGCCAAGCUGUCAGACAGAUGGCCUCACAUCUGACUCUAGAAUACUUUGGUAUACAGAGGAAUUCAUCAUGAUCAAGUCAAUGACAUCAAGGUGCCCACUUCCUGUGGCUGCAAAACCAGUCCAAAUCAUCACCCC
ensembl:lncRNA